ACGCUAGCUACAGGCUUAACACAUGCAAGUCGAGGGGAAACGGCAUUUAGUGCUUGCACUGAAUGGACGUCGACCGGCGCACGGGUGAGUAACGCGUAUCCAACCUUCCCAUUACUUUGGGAUAACCUGCCGAAAGGCAGACUAAUACCUCAUAGUCUUCGAUGACGGCAUCAGAUUUGAAGUAAAGAUUUAUCGGUAAUGGAUGGGGAUGCGUCUGAUUAGCUUGUUGGCGGGGUAACGGCCCACCAAGGCAACGAUCAGUAGGGGUUCUGAGAGGAAGGUCCCCCACAUUGGAACUGAGACACGGUCCAAACUCCUACGGGAGGCAGCAGAGAGGAAUAUUGGUCAAUGGACGUAAGUCUGGACCAGCCAAGUAGCGUACAGGAUGACGGCCCUAUGGGUUGUAAACUGCUUUUGUAUGGGGAUAAAGUCAAUCACGUGUGAUUGUUUGCAGGUACCAUACGAAUAAGGACCGGCUAAUUCCGUGCCAGCAGCCGCGGUAAUACGGAAGGUUCGGGCGUUAUCCGGAUUUAUUGGGUUUAAAGGGAGCGUAGGCCGGAGAUUAAGUGUGUUGUGAAAUGUAGACGCUCAACGUCUGAAUUGCAGCGCAUACUGGUUUCCUUGAGUACGCACAACGUUGGCGGAAUUCGUCGUGUAGCGGUGAAAUGCUUAGAUAUGACGAAGAACUCCGAUUGCGAAGGCAGCUGACGGGAGCGCAACUGACGCUGAAGCUCGAAGGUGCGGGUAUCGAACAGGAUUAGAUACCCUGGUAGUCCGCACAGUAAACGAUGGAUGCCCGCUGUUGGUACCUAGUAUCAGCGGCUAAGCGAAAGCAUUAAGCAUCCCACCUGGGGAGUACGCCGGCAACGGUGAAACUCAAAGGAAUUGACGGGGGCCCGCACAAGCGG
rnacentral:rRNA from 1 species